rnacentral:rRNA from 1 species
GACGAACGCUGGCGGCGUGCUUAACACAUGCAAGUCGAACGGUGAAGCCCAGCUUGCUGGGUGGAUCAGUGGCGAACGGGUGAGUAACACGUGAGUAACCUGCCCCUGACUCUGGGAUAAGCCUUGGAAACGAGGUCUAAUACCGGAUACGAGACGCUCGUGCAUGCGAAGUGUCUGGAAAGAUUUAUCGGUCAGGGAUGGACUCGCGGCCUAUCAGCUUGUUGGUGGGGUAACGGCCCACCAAGGCGACGACGGGUAGCCGGCCUGAGAGGGCGACCGGCCACACUGGGACUGAGACACGGCCCAGACUCCUACGGGAGGCAGCAGUGGGGAAUAUUGCACAAUGGGCGCAAGCCUGAUGCAGCGACGCCGCGUGAGGGAUGAAGGCCUUCGGGUUGUAAACCUCUUUCAGCAGGGAAGAAGCGCAAGUGACGGUACCUGCAGAAGAAGCGCCGGCUAACUACGUGCCAGCAGCCGCGGUAAUAC